rnacentral:pre_miRNA from 1 species
UUAACUCAUAUUUGUAUGCAGUUGGAACAACGCCCCUAGCGGCAAACGUAGGCAAACGUUCCAACUCCAUACAAAUUUGAGUUA